rnacentral:sRNA from 1 species
AGCCGCCACUUCCGAGAGCGCCUGCCGCCCGUGCGCCGCCGAGCCAGCUGCCAGUGGUCUGCAAGAAGAAUCUGGACAGUACCACUGUGGCUGUGCAUGGUGAGGAGAUCUACUGCAAGUCCUGCUACGGCAAGAAGUAUGGGCCCAAAGGCUAUGGCUACGGGCAGGGCGCAGGCACCCUCAGCACUGACAAGGGGGAGUCGCUGGGUAUCAAGCACGAGGAAGCCCCUGGCCACAGGCCCACCACCAACCCCAAUGCAUCCAAAUUUGCCCAGAAGAUUGGUGGCUCCGAGCGCUGCCCCCGAUGCAGCCAGGCAGUCUAUGCUGCGGAGAAGGUGAUUGGUGCUGGGAAGGUAAGGCGGCUGCUGGGCAUGAGAGGGAUAGGGGGAGAUAUCUUCCUGAAAUGUGGAUUCCAGAACUUUUAAAUUGGUGACCUAGCUCUGGUCAGGGCAGCCUGAGCACUGGGGUUUAACCUCUUCUCUUUGUCCCUGCGGGUUGCAUGUACCUGUGCUUUCCAGUCUCCAAGGAGCUCAUAUCAGCCAUGAGCAGUAACAUCCCCAGCAUUGAUGGACAAUGGGCAA